rnacentral:rRNA from 1 species
GAUGAACGCUGGCGGCGUGCCUAAUACAUGCAAGUCGAGCGAACGGACGAGAAGCUUGCUUCUCUGAUGUUAGCGGCGGACGGGUGAGUAACACGUGGAUAACCUACCUAUAAGACUGGGAUAACUUCGGGAAACCGGAGCUAAUACCGGAUGAUAUUUUGAACCGCAUGGUUCAAAAGUGAAAGACGGUCUUGCUGUCACUUAUAGAUGGAUCCGCGCUGCAUUAGCUAGUUGGUAAGGUAACGGCUUACCAAGGCAACGAUGCAUAGCCGACCUGAGAGGGUGAUCGGCCACACUGGAACUGAGACACGGUCCAGACUCCUACGGGAGGCAGCAGUAGGGAAUCUUCCGCAAUGGGCGAAAGCCUGACGGAGCAACGCCGCGUGAGUGAUGAAGGUCUUCGGAUCGUAAAACUCUGUUAUUAGGGAAGAACAUAUGUGUAAGUAACUGUGCACAUCUUGACGGUACCUAAUCAGAAAGCCACGGCUAACUACGUGCCAGCAGCCGCGGUAAUACGUAGGUGGCAAGCGUUAUCCGGAAUUAUUGGGCGUAAAGCGCGCGUAGGCGGUUUUUUAAGUCUGAUGUGAAAGCCCACGGCUCAACCGUGGAGGGUCAUUGGAAACUGGAAAACUUGAGUGCAGAAGAGGAAAGUGGAAUUCCAUGUGUAGCGGUGAAAUGCGCAGAGAUAUGGAGGAACACCAGUGGCGAAGGCGACUUUCUGGUCUGUAACUGACGCUGAUGUGCGAAAGCGUGGGGAUCAAACAGGAUUAGAUACCCUGGUAGUCCACGCCGUAAACGAUGAGUGCUAAGUGUUAGGGGGUUUCCGCCCCUUAGUGCUGCAGCUAACGCAUUAAGCACUCCGCCUGGGGAGUACGACCGCAAGGUUGAAACUCAAAGGAAUUGACGGGGACCCGCACAAGCGGUGGAGCAUGUGGUUUAAUUCGAAGCAACGCGAAGAACCUUACCAAAUCUUGACAUCCUUUGACAACUCUAGAGAUAGAGCCUUCCCCUUCGGGGGACAAAGUGACAGGUGGUGCAUGGUUGUCGUCAGCUCGUGUCGUGAGAUGUUGGGUUAAGUCCCGCAGCGAGCGCAACCCUUAAGCUUAGUUGCCAUCAUUAAGUUGGGCACUCUAAGUUGACUGCCGGUGACAAACCGGAGGAAGGUGGGGAUGACGUCAAAUCAUCAUGCCCCUUAUGAUUUGGGCUACACACGUGCUACAAUGGACAAUACAAAGGGCAGCGAAACCGCGAGGUCAAGCAAAUCCCAUAAAGUUGUUCUCAGUUCGGAUUGUAGUCUGCAACUCGACUACAUGAAGCUGGAGUCGCUAGUAAUCGUAGAUCAGCAUGCUACGGUGAAUACGUUCCCGGGUCU